UUGCCCAACAUUGUAAAUGCAUUAAUUGACACGGAAUUGUUCCUUUUAAAAUGGUUCAUUUUCUAUUAUGUGAAUUUCACUUCAAUGUAAAAAAAAGAAAGAAAAAAAAAGCCUCAGUGUUCUGACUAGUAAAAAGAGGCUAAUAACACUACUUAUUUCAUGGAGAGGUGGUAAGGAAUAAGAUAACAGGCACAAGUGGCAGCAUUCAGCUAUUGAAUAAAGGGUAGCCAGUGUUCUCUGAAUGCUGCUUUCUGGGGUUGCACCAAGGGAUGCUCCAAAUCUCUUUCCUCGCCCCUAGGGAACGUGGCUUAAGUUCCGGCGCAAAGAACCGAAAAGCCCGAAGAGCUGUAGCUGCGAGGUGGCGCCUAACGCGGUCACAGUCGUGCUCCUUGCUGGUGGGCAGCGCUGAGAGGAGAGCAGCGCUCGCAGGACUGGGCGGGGGAUCCCGCAGGCGGCAGGGAACCCGCGGGUCUUUCCCUACCUGAGAGCUGCACGGUUGGCCACCAGGGCGCGCUGCAGGAGUCGCCUUUCCCAGAAAUCGGGCAGAGAUUUAGGCCUUACAGUUACUUAAACUUGUAACCCUCCCAGUAGCUGUGGAGUCUAGUAAACAUGGGUUCUGCCGGGUUCGCCAGUCAUCCCAGGCUACUGAGGGGCAGGCACGGGGCCCGUGGGCCAGAGGAGACCUCCAGGCUUCUCUCCCACUCUUCUCUGGCCUGCACCCCCUCUCGGGUAGAGGCUGCCCCUCCUGCUUGGGUUCAGCCACCUCCAAAUAUUGCAUCAACGGCCCGUGCCUCUGCCUGCGGGGCUGGGCCAGCGCCAGAGAGGCAGGCGAAGUGCCAACCGCCCGGGGGCAGCAGCUGGCGAGUUGAGGCAGAGCUGCCAGAACCUCACCGCCACCAAGAUUGCUACCUGGAGAUUCCUGCUUGCCCCCAACCCCAGAUGGAUUAAAGCUUUUCCUUGCCGGAGAGUUAUGACUAUUAACUGUGGCAAAGAUUUCUGCUUCAUUUUGUUUUCCAACCUGGGAAUUUCUACUUAUGUCUCUAAGGAACUCUGUCAAGUUUGCCUUUUACCCAAAAAACUUUACUGUUCUUAAUACCCACAUUCCUUGGGAAAAACAGAGAGAACUAAUGAAAUUUGAAAGCUAAGAUGAACAAUACUCCCUUAAACUCCUAUGGUCUAAAAUCUUCUCUUUUCCGGCUGGAACCAUGGAGAGUGUCAAAGAGAAGGAGGUUCCUGCUGUGCCAGAAAAUGAGAAGGAAUUUCUCAGAGCCGAAGAUCAAGUGCCUAAGAAAUAAGUUUGCCCAAAAGAUGCUUCAAAGGGCAAGGAAGAAGCUUAUCCGUGACCAAGUGAACAGGCAGAUGUACAGAACUGAAAUCUGAAUGGCAGGCAUGGCAGGAAAAGCUGGCAACUUCUAUGUCCCCACAGGACCCACACUGACGUUUGUCAUCAGGAUCAGAGGUAUCAAUGGUGUGAGCCAAAGAAUCCGAAAGGUGUUGCAAUUCUUCGCCUUUGUCAAAUCUUCAGUGGAAGCUUUGUGAAGCUCGACAAGGCUUCAAUUAACAUGCCGAGGACUGUAGAGCCAUGUAAUGCAUGGGGGUACCCACAUCUGAAGUCAGUAAAUGAACUACUCUGCAAGCCUGUUUAUGGCAAAGUCAGUAAGAGGCGAAUUGCUUUGACAGGUAACUCUUUGAUUGCUCGAUCUCUUGGUAAAUAUGGCAUCACCUGCAUGGAGGAUCUGAUUCAUGAGAUUUAUACUGUUGGGAAAUGCUUCAAAGAAGCAAAUAGGCCAGGUGUAAUGGCUCACUGUAAUCCCAGCACUUUCAGAGGCCAAGGUGGGUGGAUUACCUGAGGUCAGGAGUUCGAGACCAGCCUGGCCAACAUGGUGAAACCCCGUCUCUACUAAAAAUGCAAAAAUUAGCCAGGCAUGGUGGUGCGUGCUGGUAACCCCAGCUACUCAAGAGGCCGAGGUAGGCGAAUUGCUCGAAUCCAGGAGACGGACGUUGCAGUGAGCCAAGAUUGUACCACUGCAUUCUAGCCUGGGCAACAAAGUGAGACUCCAUCUCAAUUAAAAAAAAAAAGAAGCAAAUAACUUCCUGUGACCCUUCAAAUGAUCAUCUCCACAAGGCGGAAUGAAGAAAUAGACCAACUAUUUUGUAGAAGGUGGAGAUUCUGGCAACAGGCUUAUUAGAAGACUAUCUUCCAUGAUUAUUUUGCUACGCUGCUCAGUUAAUAAACAGUACCUGCUCUCAAAUUGAAAAAAAAAAAUCUUACCUCUAGCUUCAGUGUGAAUAAGAUCAACACUUUCUGGGACCCACAGGUGACCUCCUUAUGAAUUAAUAUGAGGCCAAGCUGGGUGUGGUGGCUCGUGUCUGUAGUCUUAGCUACUCAGGAGGCUGAGGUGGGAGAUUGCUUGACGCCAAGAGUUUGAGGCUGUAGUGCACUGUGACUGCGCCUGUGAACAGCUACUGCACUCCAGCCUAGGAACAUAGCAACACUGUGGUGUUUGCGCCAAGGGCUCGAGACAGCUAGUUGACUCGCCCCAGUUUGGCUGCUGGACCUGUCUGCAUUUCCCCACCUCGAGGGCUGUCGAGUGAGACAAAGGGCCGUGAGCUGACUCACUAAAAGCAACAACAGAAUGCAAAGCAAAGGCCUGCAGUUUAUGAGGACAUUGUGCUGUCUGCUUCCAUGUCCCCCUUCAGUCUCUGUGUAAGCAAUAAACUUGCUGCAAUUGAGAUGCCUAAGAGGAGCAGAGACCUCUGCCCAUAUUUUCCCUGGAGCCAAGCCUUUGUUUUAGCUCCUGGUGAAAAACAGGUUUAACCAGCCACCUUAAGGGCGCCAUUGUAUCUUUGAAAUGUAAAAUCUUUGAAAUGUAAACUACUAUCACUAGCCCCCUUAAACUGCUUUCUGAGCAGGAUAUCACAAGCCCCUGAUAACUAUUUUUUAUGGAGUUUCUAUUUCCUUUCUGUCUACCCCUUUCUUUCUGCUGAGAUAAGGUAAAUGUAAACAAGAAAAAAGGUAUAAAAGCUGUAACCCACAAGAAUAAAUUUGCUGCGUUUUGGCCAUAAUCUUCACGCAGCCCUCCAGA